AUAAAACCUUAAUGGAGUGUUUGGAUGUUCUUUAGGGGCUCUAUAGGCAGAAUUGAACGGCACCCGUAUGCUCCAUUGUAAGCAGACUUUUGAUCGCAUUUAUUUACUAUUUCGAAUGCAUUAAACAAAAUCCAUCUGUCGUCAUGUCUUUCAUAAUGAUUGUGAACGAUAGACAAAAUUCCAAAAAAAGUGAAGUUCCCCUUUAAGGAUUUUUAAUCAAUCAAAAAUAUCAAGCAGUGCAAUGUACCAAACAUGGAUAAGUGUGGAGAGAGUGUUUUCCCCAUCAUCCCUUGUGAUGGAUUUAAAUGGGUGCCAUUUUAAUUUUUUUUAUGUUGAUUGGACGCUUUUUAUAAUAUCCACUAUGUUCAAUGAGCAGGUUGUGUUUUGUGUGACGUGUUAGUUGAAUUUUUGCGCUGGUUGAUUUUUUUUUUUUUAAUGCACCUUGACUAGGGAAGGUUAUUUAGAUUGGGUCAUACAAGUACAUUUUGUGCCAUGUAUACUUGAAAAGUAAAAUUAAUGCCAGAGUUAUUUUUGUUUGCCAGCAGAAGGUGCCAAAAUGGCAGCAGACAGACCGCUGGAUAUUUAUGUAUGGUAAAGAUACACCGCUGCGGUCAAAUUGUUUAAUAAGUCAAUUUGAAGACGUUGGCCCGCAGGCUGCAGUUUGGACCCCCCUGAUCUAGUGGUACGCCAAAACAUCUCAUGUGCAAAUUACUUAAUUAAAUAUUGUAAUGACGUGACUUGAGCCGUUACCAAAGGUUUGUCGGCACUUAAUAGAAGUUACAAUCCGACUACUGUAGGCCAUAGUCAACGCCAAAAUAACUAAUUAAAACACAAACAGAAAUGUCUUACUCCGUCAUUUCUAUCACUUAACAUGCAUGAGAAUCACAUUUUUUUCCACAUUCUCAGCUUACGUCUGUCCUUUACCAGCCUCCCAGCCAAUCAACAUGCAUGUUGACAAAGAUGAACAUAUAGGCAGAGAAAGCUGUACAUAACAAUGAUGCCUUCAAACCAUGGGAAACCCCAACAUCUGUUAAACAUUGAGUAAACUACACGUGGAACAUAACAUAGGACACACACUGUUACAAUGUAAGUAAGAUUUAAAAAAAAUAAAAAGUUGUUUUAUUUUCCUAUAUUCAACCACAAUGUUACUGUUCAAACUGUGCAAUGUAAAACAUAUUGAAUAUACUUGUUAAAUAAAACUUCUGCCUUGUUUUUAAUAAGUAAUUAGGCUGACUGCACUACUGUUUUUCAAUGUUGGUCAUUACGGUGGUCCUUGUUGACAACAUUUUGAGAACCGCUGGAAUAGAAUAUAGAAUAAAAUGCUUUAUUUGUCAUCAACCAUGGUAAAAAUACAGGUGGCUACCCUGUUAAAGUGCAGUUUUAAAUACAAGACAAUAUUUCCGACAGUAAUAAUACAUAUCACAUGAAAAUCUGUAAGCAGUGUAUACAUUUUUAUUGUGUAAUCAAUCAAUGCAUAAUAAUCGUACUAUAACUGUUGCAUCCCUACUUUGUGUCCAAGUCACGCAAUGUCUGAAACAGCUUUCGGGUGCAAUUAAAGGUUUGUAUGGCGGCUAACAUUUGUGUCUUUGCAGAAAGCUGCUAGGGAGCUUGUUGCCAUGGUGACAACAUUAAGAUGAGGAGGUGGAGGAAAGGUCCCAUGUGCACAGGAGCAAGGUGUGUUGCUGUAGUCAAGAAGUAUUCUUUGCCAUUAAGGUGAAUGUGCCAGUCUUGUCUUUUGUUGAGCACUACAAAGUGUUUAUACUUGAGUCAUAGUUCACAUCCACACAGC